UCAUCAAGCUGAAGAACAAUGGGGACUUUUUCUUGGCCAAUGAAGGCCGACGGCCCAUUUAUGUUGAUGGACGGCCAGUGCUCUGUGGCAGCAAGUGGAAACUCAGCAAUAACUCUGUGGUUGAGAUUGCCAGCUUGCGCUUUGUUUUCCUCAUCAACCAAGAUCUGAUUGCUCUUAUCAAGGCAGAAGCUGCCAAAAUUGCCCAGCCCUGAGGCUUGGAUCGAACCAAAGGACACCCCACCCAACCCCACUCCGCUCCUCCUGCCUCCAGCAGGGACUGCUGUUUUCUUUGCUGCUUGAUGCAGCUUCCUCCAGUUUGCCUCCUUUGAGAUUAGGACACAAAAGCCAUCCUGGCUCUUCGUUGUUGUUGUUGUUGUUAGCAUAGAGGAACUCUGUUUCAUGCGUGAGAGAAGGGGUGGGUGUGAGUAGAGAGACUUAAACACAGCCCUUUGGCUAACAGGAACCUUUUGCCGGGUUGGGUGAGAAACGACUUACUGCUUCUACUGACUCUUGCGCUUCACUCUCUUUGGGACAGAGUGAUGAAAUUUUUCAGGACUGGAUGCGGCGAGAGCCAAGGUCAAGCUAAUAUAACAGUUGAUCAGUCCUCUCGUUCUGUGCUGUGUUAGUGCCAUUUCUAGAUGUCAGUUUUUUAAGGUAUCCAUUAUUUUAAUCUCAGUUCCUUGGGUGU